GGGGGGUGGGGGAGGGCACAGAGGGGGAAGUGGUGUACCCACAACGUGACUAACAAAAAUGUACAACUGAAAUCUCACAAGGUUGUAAUCUAUCAUAACAUUAAUAAAAAAAAAAUUAGUUCAUCCUAAUUACGCAAAAAUGAUAAAUUCAAAUAAGCAAGGUAAUUCAAUUCUGAAUUAAAAAUUUUUUCAAUCACUUGACAUCUCAAAUCAAAGCAAAUGGGUAAUGUUACCAAUUAUAUCAAUUCGACUCUAUAUUUCAAUACAUAAAAUAUGAUGAACAAUUAAAAUUCUUAUGUGAUAUGCAUUUAACUUGUUAACAUUUAUGCUACAGUAGGGAACCACACUCGAGAAACAGGGUCAUGUCCUUGAAAACCAAAGAAGGUUAUCACAAAAGAGUCUUUGUAAGAAUCCAGCAACAGGAUGAGUCCCAAAAUCUAUUAAAUAAACUAUCCCACAGGAAAAGUGAGGCAGAUCACACUAGUAAAGGCAACACUAUGGAAGCUUAUGAAAUAGUUAUCAAGGGAAAUACUUGAUACAUAAUAAAAAUAUUUAGUUUUAGGAAGCAGUAUGAUAGGCUCUGAUAUGGUUGCACUUAUGAGUACAGGACUUUCAUAGGAAGGAAAGAAAUGGAAAUUCACUGAAUGUCUGUGUUUUGUCAUGCAUCCCUAAAUACCUUCGAUUACAUUAUAGCAUUGGAAACUAGGAAGCAGAAAUGUUAAAUAACUUGUUGUAGGCCACACAGUAAUAAAUGGCAGAACUAGGACUUAAACUCCAUCUUCUAAUUACACAUCCAUUAUUCUUGUCACAUCAAUACCACUUUAUCCUGAGCUAGUACUCAAAAUAUGAUAGUGCUUAAACUAUUUGCUUAAGCUUUUCUUAGGAUUUCUGAUCAAGGUCAAUUCAAAUUCCAAUUUCAAGGCUAAUGAAUAAGAAAGUGACCUUUAAAAGGAAAAAAAAUACGUAAAAAAUAUACAUGCAUUCCGGGUGGCAUUAUGAAUCUUCAAACUUUCGAUAUUCUUUGUGUCUCAUGUAAGGAUGAAAAAAGUUAUCUAUUGCUGUAUAACAAACCACAACAAAGUGGAGUAGCUUGAAACAGUAACUUAUUCUUGUCUCUUAUUGUUCUGUGGAUUGGCUGGGAUUCGCUGGGCAAUGUCAUCUUGGGCUGAAAUCCUCUUUGCCUCUAUUGUGCUGGAUGUCAAGAUGGUUCAUUUCUGUGUUUGCUGAGGAUGCUGGCUGUUAUCUUAUUCGGGGCUGCCAACUGGAGGGCCUGCAUGUGGCCUCUUCAUGUGACUUGGGCAUCUCUCAGAGUGGUGGCUGGGUUCCAAAAGAAAGCAUCCCAAGAGGAAAUAUUCCAAAAGACCAGGCUUCUUACAGCCUAGCCUCAGAAGUCCCAGAAAGUCACCUCCACAGCAUCCUAUUGGUUGAGCCAGUCACUGAGGCCUAGGGGGAGGGAUG
rnacentral:lncRNA from 1 species